GGGGGGGGGGGAAGGGGUGUUGAAAGAAUGUAACACAUUCAAUUUCAUAUUCCAUAAUAGGUAACUGAAAAUAAGUUAAGUUAGGGGGAAAAGGAAACAAAAUUAAUAAAUCACCCAGUUGAAGAGUUUGAUACUCCCAAAUAUGAAUAAGGCAACUUCUUUAAUUAAACCCACAAAUAAAAUGAGAGGAAAUAACACAUUCAGAUCCUCAAUAAAAAAAUCAUUUCAAACGAUAAGCGACCACAAAAUUUCAAAUUCACAUUAAAUCAAGAAAUAAACUCUUUAAUUCCCCAUCUAUCCAAUAUAAAACUUAAAUCAAGGGGGAAAGAGAAAGGAAAAAGAAAAGAAUCUUGAUGUGGAUUCAUUGCAAAAGA
rnacentral:misc_RNA from 1 species